ensembl:lncRNA
AUUCUACUGAAAAAUUGUCACCACACUGAAAAUGUUUUGUAGAGAGGAAAUAAAUCUUUCAACGCAGUGUAAAAUUCCACUGAAAUAGAUGACCUCCAUUUCCUCAGUGUCUAAGCCUAUUUUUAAGCGAUUAAGCAACGCUCUGGAAAAAAAGUAAAAUCUCAUUGAGAACAGUGGGAGCUGUUACUGUAUAGCUACUAUUAGCAUUACCACCACGACUGUGCGGGGAGUUUUUCAUCAUUUGCGCAUAGGACCCUGCUCCACAAAGGCGAGCUGGACGAAGACUCUCCAUAGUGGAGUGUUCAAUCCAAGUGUAUUUCAGGAUCUUGAGAUGGAGAGAUGGCCUUGGAUUAUGAAUUAUCUGGGCAAAGCACUCCACAGUUCUUCAACUCUGGCGCUCUGGAAGAGUAUUCUUUCUAUGACUGGUGGCCAGUCCCUCCUCUAGGCAUGCUGUCUUCCUCUGCCUCCCAGAGAAGCUCAAGCGGUGCACCAGAGCUUCAGAUAUGGUCUGCUCAAGCACGCAGGAGUCAUUGUCUCCUGGGGAAGCUCACACAGUGCACCAGAACUUCAGCCCCAGCCAAACCUGAUCGUGAAGCAGCUUCUGGCCCGCAGGUCGCUGUGCUCCCUCUUCUCGUCUCUUGGCUGGAAGCGCAGAUUUGGGUUCUGUUCCUGACUCAGUCCAAGUGCCAGCCACCCUGCGCGGCAGACACCACAUCCUGCAUCUUACAGGUGAUGGAGUCAAGGCUCAGUUCACUAGCUUUCCUAGCGCCAGAGAGUAACACGCCCAGGGUUUAGCCCAAAUGAUUUUGAAGCUGUAGCAGAGGAGGUAGGGCCCCCUGGACCUCUGCAGCCUGGUGCUCACCCUUCCGUGUGCUGCCCGGAGCUGGUUAGUUGGCAUGAAAUGGCUUAGCCUCAGGACUGAGGCUUUCAUGUCACACAUGCCAGGGAGCCAGUGCAGCCUUUGUGGUGACAAAUGUGGGAGAUCCUUGGGCCCAACACCUCUUCACGAAGUGCCUUCUGGGCCUCUUAGGCCAAAAGCCAGAACCAGGAUGGAGUGACAGAAGCCUCCGAAUAGGUCCAGGGGAGCUGGAAUAAACCUUUCAAGAUGAAAAGUCCUGAGUGCAUCAUUUAUAAUUACACCUGUUUCCUUUGCUCAGUUCUAACAGUCAACCUAUUGACGAGGAAUUUUGCCGUCUUCCUCCUCCUCGUCAUCAUGCUAUCAGGAUCUGCUCCUCCCUGUCCACUCCCCCAAAGGGUUCUCAUGACAGUUGGUUUCACUCCACCACUCAGAGGAGGAGGUGUAUUUCAAUGAGCUCCCCGCUUCCCCUUCUCCCCACACCCUGCCACCACCUUCAUGAAUUUUGCUGAAAUCCUAUUUCUGGGGGACAGAGAUGAAUGCUGUGUAGUUAUCUGAUUAAACUGCCUCUUGUUUAAA